rnacentral:rRNA from 1 species
AGAUUGAACGCUGGCGGUAGGCCUAACACAUGCAAGUCGAGCGGUAGAGAGGUGCUUGCAUCUCUUGAGAGCGGCGGACGGGUGAGUAAUGCCUAGGAAUCUGCCUAGUGGUGGGGGAUAACGUUCGGAAACGGACGCUAAUACCGCAUACGUCCUACGGGAGAAAGCGGGGGACCUUCGGGCCUCGCGCCAUUAGAUGAGCCUAGGUCGGAUUAGCUAGUUGGUGAGGUAAUAGCUCACCAAGGCGACGAUCCGUAACUGGUCUGAGAGGAUGAUCAGUCACACUGGAACUGAGACACGGUCCAGACUCCUACGGGAGCAGCAGUGGGGAAUAUUGGACAA